UACGAAGGGGCUAGCGUUGCUCGGAAUCACUGGGCGUAAAGCGCACGUAGGCGGAUUGCUAAGUCAGGGGUGAAAUCCUGGAGCUCAACUCCAGAACUGCCUUCGAUACUGAGAGUCUUGAGUCCGGGAGAGGUGAGUGGAACUGCGAGUGUAGAGGUGAAAUUCGUAGAUAUUCGCAAGAACACCAGUGGCGAAGGCGGCUCACUGGCCCGGUACUGACGCUGAGGUGCGAAAAGCGUGGGG
rnacentral:rRNA from 1 species